UACGAAGGGGGCUAGCGUUGUUCGGAAUUACUGGGCGUAAAGCGUGCGCAGGCGGCUCAUCAAGUCAGAGGUGAAAGCCCAGGGCUCAACCCUGGAAUUGCCUUUGAAACUGGUGGGCUUGAGUGCGGGAGAGGUGAGUGGAAUUCCCAGUGUAGAGGUGAAAUUCGUAGAUAUUUGGAGGAACACCAGUGGCGAAGGCGGCUCACUGGACAAGUAUUGACGCUGAGGUGCGAAAGCGUGGGGAGCAAACAGG
rnacentral:rRNA from 1 species